rnacentral:rRNA from 1 species
GGGAAUAUUGCACAAUGGGCGCAAGCCUGAUGCAGCGACGCCGCGUGAGGGAUGACGGCCUUCGGGUUGUAAACCUCUGUUAGCAGGGAAGAAGAGAGAUUGACGGUACCAGCAGAGAAAGCGCCGGCUCACUACGUGCCAGCAGCCGCGGUAAUACGUAGGGCGCGAGCGUUGUCCGGAAUUAUUGGGCGUAAAGAGCUUGUAGGCGGUUUGUCGCGUCUGCUGUGAAAGGCCGGAGCUUAACUCCGUGUAUUGCAGUGGGUACGGGCAGACUAGAGUGCAGUAGGGGAGACUGGAAUUCCUGGUGUAGCGGUGGAAUGCGCAGAUAUCAGGAGGAACACCGAUGGCGAAGGCAGGUCUCUGGGCUGUAACUGACGCUGAGAAGCGAAAGCAUGGGGAGCGAAC